AACUCUUCAUUUUUUUUCCUUCAUAUACAUAUAAAAAUAACAUAAUCUUUCCUUUUUUUUUUAAUAAAAUAUAAAUAAAUUAAAAUACAGUUGAAGUUUACCUCUUCAUUUUUUUUAUUCGGUACUUGAAUUGGAGCACGACUAAUUUAGAUUUGCACCGGAUAGGACCCUAUUCGAAGUAGCACUUCCUACCAAGAAUUUUAUCAUA
rnacentral:lncRNA from 1 species